GACAGAGGUGCAAACGUUGUUCGGAUUUACUGGGCGUAAAGCGCGUGUAGGCGGCUUCGCAAGUUGGAUGUGAAAGCCCACGGCUCAACCGUGGAAGCGCAUCCAAAACUGCGUCGCUCGAGUCUCGGAGAGGAAGGUGGAAUGCUUGGUGUAGAGGUGAAAUUCGUAGAUAUCAAGCAGAACACCUGCGGCGAAGGCGGCCUUCUGGACGAUGACUGACGCUGAAACGCGAAAGCG
rnacentral:rRNA from 1 species